CCAGCCUCCCGCCCGCAGUUCUCCGUCGACGCGGGCUACGCUGGGAGUCCCUGGCUCGCCGAGAAGACCUUAGAAAGAUCUAAGGUUAUGACUCAAGAGAGCCAUCCAGUGGCUUCAUCCCCAUCCGGACCUGGUUAAGAUGACAAGAUUGUAGACUUUGAGAUGGUGCUGUAAGGGGAUGAGAUGUUUGGUGGCCUUGAGAAGAUGUUUUAAGAAAACCUCCCAAUAACCCUUGAAAUGACAGUACAUCUUUACUGGGAUCUCUCUCCUGAAUUAUGCUUAUUUUUAUUCUCGAAUUAUGUUAAGGAUCCAGAUCUACUCUAGGACUACUGACUACAUAGAGCUAAGUAAUACUAGUUUACUGAAAAGAAUUGCUCCCUCUAGUGAAUUCACACUAUUACUUCACUUUUUGGCACUGCGGCAUUGCAUAAUUUAAUAAAUGAUAUAAAUGAUGAUGA